GUGAGGAAUAUUGCGCAAUGGGGGAAACCCUGACGCAGCGACGCCGCGUGGGCGAUGAAGGCCUUCGGGUCGUAAAGCCCUUUUGGUAGGGACGAGUGAGGACGGUACCUGCCGAAUAAGUCUCGGCUAACUACGUGCCAGCAGCCGCGGUAAAACGUAGGAGGCGAGCGUUAUCCGGAUUCACUGGGCGUAAAGCGCGCGUAGGCGGUUGGGUAAGUCGGAUGUGAAAGCCCCUGGCUCAACUGGGGGAGGUCAUUCGAUACUGCUCGGCUUGAGGGUGAGAGAGGGAAGUGGAAUUCCCGGUGUAGCGGUGGAAUGCGUAGAGAUCGGGAGGAACACCAGUGGCGAAAGCGGCUUCCUGGCUCACCCCUGACGCUGAUAGCGCGAAAGCGUGGGGAGCAAACGGGAUUAGAAACCCGAGUAGUCC
rnacentral:rRNA from 1 species